UUCCGUAGGUGAACCUGCGGAAGGAUCAUUACCGUACCGGCACGUGCGGCGGCCUCCAGCCCCUCGGGACUGGGUGGUUAGGGCUCCUUCGGGGGCACCUUUUAACGCGCACGCGGCUACAUCCUUAUAUUACGAGCACCUGACGUUCUCCUUCGGCGGGGUCUACCCUGCCGUCGGAACCUAUUACAACCUUUUUGCAUCUAGCAUUACCUGUUCCGAUGACAAACAAUCGUUACAACUUUCAACAAUGGAUCUCUUGGCUCUGGCAUCGAUGAAGAACGCAGCGAAAUGCGAUAAGUAGUGUGAAUUGCAGAAUUCAGUGAAUCAUCGAAUCUUUGAACGCACAUUGCGCCCCUCGGUAUUCCGUGGGGCAUGCCUGUUCGAGCGUCAUCUACACCCUCAAGCUCUGCUUGGUGAUGGGCGUCUGUCCCGCCUCCGCGCGCGGACUCGCCCCAAACGCAUUGGCAGCGGUCCUCGCCCCCUCUCGCGCAGCACAUUGCGCUUCUCGAGGGCCCGGCGGCCCGCGUCCAGCAAGCGACCACACCGUCUUGACCUCG
rnacentral:rRNA from 1 species